GGAGAGGUGGCCGAGUGGUUUAAGGCGGCGGUCUUGAAAACCGCUUCCCGCAUACGCGGGACGUGGGUUCCCUGCCUGAAUGCCGUCAGGCAGGCAGGGAAUUCCCUCCCUCUCCGCCA
rnacentral:tRNA from 1 species